UGUGUAAGCGCAGCGAUGCGUUGAGCUAACCGGUACUAAUGAACCGUGAGGCUUAACCUUACAACGCCAAAG
rnacentral:rRNA from 1 species